AACACAGACUCUUACCAGGAUUACUUUGAUUUGGAUGACAAAGACGCAGACGUGCUACCGCUUCGCUCUCAUGUAAGGGGGGGAAGUACAACAAGCAUGAUGAAACAUGUUCAGGCCGUACAUAACCUGAAGGUUCGAGAAAGGUGUCGUGGAGAAGCAGCGACAGAGAUGACGAAGCUCGCCCCUCUUCCUCUGCUUCAACCUGCAGCGCCAAUUCCAGUGAUAGUGCUGGACAAGGACGUGCAGUCAUUCCUGGAGGAGGCCACAAUGAUGGAUCCCAGAAGGAUGUUCCAAUAGCAGCAGGAGUGCACUUUUUGGAGAGCUGUAUUAUUUUCAGUUUUGUGCCCAAGGGACUGAUUUUAUUUAACACUAUAUUAUUUUUUAUACACCUAUAGUGAUCACAGAGACAGGUUGUUUUUGUGUUACUGUAUGUAUUUGUUUUUCUGAA